rnacentral:rRNA from 1 species
GACGAACGCUGGCGGCGUGGAUUAGGCAUGCAAGUCGAACGGUAUCAUCCUUUCGGGGGUGAGAGAGUGGCGAACUGGUGAGUAACACGUAGGUUAUCUACCCUCAAGACGGGGACAACCCAGGGAAACUUGGGCUAAUACCGGAUGUGAGCAACUUUUAGUUGUUUGAAAGGUGGCGUAAGCUGUCGCUUGGGGAUGAGCCUGCGUCCUAUUAGUUAGUUGGUGAGGUAACGGCUCACCUAGGCAAUGAUAGGUAGGCGGCCUUAACGGGUGGUCGCCCACACUGGGAUUGAGAUACGGCCCAGACUCCUACGGGAGGCAGCAGUCGAGAAUAGUCUACAAUGGUCGGAAGACUGAUAGUGCGACGCCGCGUGAACGAUGAAUCCCUUCGGGGUGUAAAGUUCUUUUAUAUGUGAGCAGUGCUUCUUAUAUUAACAGUAUGGGGAGAGAGAUAUUAGCAUAUGAAUAAGCAACGGCUAACUCCGUGCCAGCAGCCGCGGU